rnacentral:rRNA from 1 species
CGCGUAGGCGGUUUGUUAAGUCAGAUGUGAAAGCCCAGGGCUUAACCUUGGAAUUGCAUCUGAUACUGGCAGGCUAGAGUGCAGGAGAGGGAAUGGAAUUUCAGGUGUAGCGGUGAAAUGCGUAGAGAUCUGAAGGAACACCAGUGGCGAAGGCGACUUCCUGGACUGACACUGACGCUGAGGUGCGAAGCGUGGGGAGCAAACA